AUACGCCCCCGGCGCUGCUGCGGCGGCUGGCUUGGGAGGGGGUCGAGGGAGCGGGAGCUUGGGGUGGGCUUCGGGAGCGCAGGGAACGGCGGGAGCCGGGAGGUGACGGCUAGCAGCGUGAGAAGGCCGCUGGCUCCUGAGAAAUCCCCCUCCUCCAGGUGGUUUUGUCCUUUUGGACCAAUUAUCUAACCUGGGCCUGGACUCCAUCUACCACUGUCCUGCCUGGUUCACUGCAGCUCACUUCAUCUUCCUGUGCCUUCUCUGAAAGGGCCCCUCCAAAAGUUUCCUGGGUAUGUCCCCUCAAGAAACUCUCAAACAACUGAGAAGGUGCCUCGACAUCUGAUUUGCCCCAAACCUCUAUACACUGGACAUCUUCUGAAUAAGGCUGUGUUGUAUGUUGGGACAAGCAAAGGGAUGGAAAUCAAGAAUUCUGGGUUUUAGUCCUGACUGUCACUACAUGGCUGUGUUACUUCUGCUUUCUACCACCCUCGUGCUUUUGGGAGGGCCUGAUUCAGAUGAAGAGUCUCCUGAGAGCAUGGAUUGUCUCAGAUGAAGAGUCUCCUGAGAGCAUGAACUGUCUCAGGUAUCCGUGUGUUCCUCAGUGUCUGGCUUGGUGACUGGCACACAAU
rnacentral:lncRNA from 1 species